rnacentral:rRNA from 1 species
UUCGGUGAGACGGCAUAUAUCCUAGCGGCGGACGGGUGAGUAACGCGUGGGUAAUCUACCUCGUAGUUCGGGAUAACAGGCCGAAAGGCUUGCUAAUACCGGAUGAGUUCAUGCUUAUGCAUAUAGGCAUGAAGAAAGGGCUAGCCCGCUAUGAGAUGAGCCCGCGUCCCAUUAGCUUGUUGGUGGGGUAACGGCCUACCAAGGCAACGAUGGGUAGCCGGCCUGAGAGGGUGUACGGCCACACUGGGACUGAGACACGGCCCAGACUCC